rnacentral:tRNA from 1 species
AGGGGAGGUUUAACCAACGAGAACUGCUAACUCUCGCAUCUGAGUAUAAAACCUCAGCCCCCUU